rnacentral:rRNA from 1 species
UACAGAGGGGGCAAGCGUUAUUCGGAAUUAUUGGGCGUAAAGGGCGCGUAGGCGGCUCUGCAAGUGACGGGUGAAAUCCCACGGCUUAACCGUGGAACUGCCUGUCAGACUGCAUGGCUUGAGACCAGGAGAGGUGAGUGGAAUUCCCAGUGUAGCGGUGAAAUGCGUAGAUAUUGGGAGGAACACCGGUGGCGAAGGCGGCCUUCUGGACAGUGACUGACGCUGAGACGCGAAAGCGUGGGGAGCAAACAGG